rnacentral:misc_RNA from 1 species
AACGCAAAUUGCACUCUCUGGUAUUCCGGAGAGUAUGCCUGUUUGAGGGUCGAUAAAAUCAAAAUCGAUGUGUUGCUUUCUGACAUGUCGGAAUUGGGUUAUCUUUAACCUUUUUGGUUAAAGCAGCCUAAAAUUUUUAAUUAUACCUUCAGUAUACAAUUACGUACUUAGUAAUUUUUGUCGUAAUGUCUGAAGUUUUUUUUAUUAGACGUGACCAUCUAAUGGUCUCACGUCCAUAAUUUUUUUCAGUUAAUGACCUCAAAUCAGGUAAGAAUACCCGCUGAACUUAA